UACAGAGGUCUCAAGCGUUGUUCGGAUUCAUUGGGCGUAAAGGGUGCGUAGGUGGCGCCGUAAGUCGGGUGUGAAAUUUCGGAGCUUAACUCCGAAACUGCAUUCGAUACUGCGGUGCUUGAGGACUGGAGAGGAGACUGGAAUUCCUGGUGUAGCGGUGGAAUGCGCAGAUAUCAGGAGGAACACCGGUGGCGAAAGGCGGGAUCCUGGGCCAGUACUGACGCUGAGGAGCGAAAGCGUGGGGAGCAAACAGG
rnacentral:rRNA from 1 species